UGGGGAAUAUUGCACAAUGGGCGAAAGCCUGAUGCAGCAACGCCGCGUGAGUGAUGAAGGCCUUCGGGUUGUAAAGCUCUGUCUUUUGGGACGAUAAUGACGGUACCAAAGGAGGAAGCCACGGCUAACUACGUGCCAGCAGCCGCGGUAAUACGUAGGUGGCAAGCGUUGUCCGGAUUUACUGGGCGUAAAGGAUGCGUAGGCGGAUUUUUAAGUGAGAUGUGAAAACCCUAAGCUUAACUUGGGGACUGCAUUUCAUACUGGAAAUCUAGAGUGCGGGAGAGGAGAAUGGAAUUCCUAGUGUAGCGGUGAAAAUGCGUAGAGAUUAGGAAGAACACCAGUGGCGAAGGCGAUUCUCUGGACCGUAACUGACGCUGAGGCAUGAAAGCGUGGGUAGCAAACAGGAUUAGAUACCCUGGUAGUCCACACCGUAAACGAUGAGUACUAGGUGUAGGAGGUAUCGACCCCUUCUGUGCCGCAGUUAACACAAUAAGUACUCCGCCU
rnacentral:rRNA from 1 species